CGUUCAGGUGAUCGCUGCAUGUACCCAUGCAGAGGAAAGUCCAUGCUCGCACAGCCUGAGACGGCUGUAGUGUUCGUGUCUGACGAAACCAUAAGUCAGAGCAGCUCCGUUUCGGGGCUGACGGCGGGGAAACAGCCUGUGUCCCACCGGAUAUGGCUGGAGUCCCCUGAACAGUGCCACAGUGACGUAGUCCGGCGGGAAACGGCCGGAGUGGAACGCGGUAAACCCCUCGAGCGAGAAACCCAAAAUUAGGUAGGGGCGCCUUUCGGAAGGAAUACAACGGAACGAAAGGGCAGAAGUUUUCUGCAGAUAGAUGAUUACCACCCGAGUGCAAGGUGAACAGCCGCUGGCAGCACAAGGGAACAGAACAUGGCUUACACGA
rnacentral:RNase_P_RNA from 1 species